rnacentral:rRNA from 1 species
GAUGAACGCUGGCGGCGUGCCUAAUACAUGCAAGUCGAGCGAAGCGGGGACGGGUGAGUAACACGUGGAUAACCUCCUAUAAGACUGGGAUAACUCCGGGAAACCGGAGCUAAACCGGAUACUAUUGAUUGGACCCCCGCUGCAUUAGCUGGUUGGUAAGGUAACGGCUUACCAAGGCAACGAUGCAUAGCCGACCUGAGAGGGUGAUCGGCCACACUGGAACUGAGACACGGUCCAGACUCCUACGGGAGGCAGCAGUAGGGAAUCUUCCGCAAUGGGCGAAAGCCUGACGGAGCAACGCCGCGUGAGUGAUGAAGGUCUUCGGAUCGUAAAACUCUGUUAUUAGGGAAGCGGUACCUAAUCAGAAAGCCACGGCUAACUACGUGCCAGCAGCCGCGGUAAUAC